GUUAGCGGCGCGCCUAACACAUGCAAGUCGUACGAGAACGCUCCCUUCGGGGAGUUAGUAAAGUGGCGCACGGGUGCGUAACACGUAGGCAAGCUACCCCUGGGAGGGGGAUAACAACCCGAAAGGGUUGCUAAUACCGCGUAAGACCACGGUGGCUCCGGCCACAGCGGUCAAAGAUGGCCUCUACUUGUAAGCUAUCACCUGGGGAUGCGCCUGCGGCCCAUCAGCUUGUUGGCGGGGUAACGGCCCACCAAGGCUAAGACGGGUAGCUGGUCUGAGAGGAUGAUCAGCCACACUGGCACUGACACACGGGCCAGACUCCUACGGGAGGCAGCAGUGGGGAAUCUUGGACAAUGGGCGAAAGCCUGAUCCAGCGACGCCGCGUGAGUGAUGAA
rnacentral:rRNA from 1 species